GUGCAGGUGGAGACGGAACCCUAGACACUGCUCAUCCCAAUCAGGCCCUUUCCAGGCCUGUCCCAUUCCAAUCGGGCAUCAGAUGUGGCAUUGAUCAUCAUCUACUUAACAAACGAGGCUCCCCUUUCAAUGCACUUGGGUCUCCUCUGGGCCAACCUUGGUUCUGAGAUAGCAGGUGCUGAAAUACUGCUGAAUCCUCAAAGCCAGACUAGCCAGUGCCUGGCACCUGAUGGGAAUAUGAUUUCAACGAACAGCUCACAGAAUCCUCCCCACAAAGCCGAGAAGCAGGAAGCAGCAACCCUCCCAGAUGAAGAAGCGAAGGCUCGGAAAAGCUAAGUAACUUCUCCAAGCUGACGCAGCUCGUGAGAGGAGGGACUGGGAUUCAAAUCCCUGCAGGGGGAGACCAGCAGCCCCGACUUCAGCCGCCAUGCCUCCUGCCUGAGAAGCUAGCUGCGAAGGUUCCAGAAGGAGACUGCCCUCCGGGAACAGAAACAGCGCAUGACUGCGACCUGUCUGCAAAAAUCUUGAUCACUUGUAAAUCCUUCUCCACCUGAUAAGUUAUCACAUUGGCUCAUGAUGUUUUUUUUCAUUCUCAGUGAGUUCAAAAUACUAUUUUGGUUUGUCUCAGUUUCUUCCUCUCUCUCUCUCUCUCUCUCUCUCUCUCUCGUAUAAAGGUAUCCACAUGUCACAUGUCAUUUGUUGAUAAUUAAAUUUUGAAUAGACAAUUCAUUGUCAAAACCAUCAAACAGUAUACUACAUGUCUGCAUUUGACUCUAUAUACAUUUUACCUAACAAGGAAAGCCCAUAAACAAAUACGAAAGUCUGGCUAAUGAUCCACAUACAGAAGUGUUUGGGAGGAUGGGCUCUGAGAUCUACAGCUUACUUUGAAAGGCAUCAAAGUGUAUUGACGGACGUCUGGAUGGAUGGAGGGAUAGACGUGUGUUAAACUAAACAGACCAACAUGGC
rnacentral:lncRNA from 10 species